CCCUCGUCCAAACAAUCGCUAUUCGAAGUUCACACACGGAGAGAGUUUUCAACUCUUUCGCAAACAAGCUUUGGGGAAAGUCCCCGGACAACCGUUCCUUUCUCGUCUCUUGGACGCUGAAAAAACGGCCGCGGAAACGCGCCGCCAUAGAAGCACAGCGGCUGAUCUCGACCGACACCUCUGUUCUCCAGUUCGACCUUCAACCGCCCAGCCCGUCUAUUCCAAAGUCGAGACUCACGACCCUUCUUGCCUCUCUUCUGCUUGCUUUGGUAGCCCUGCUCUUUCACUGGGUUGGAGACCACAUGGACGAAGAUAUGAGUCCGCGCUCUGGCCUGGGGAGGGGGGUUGUCUAGCUUGUCGGGUUUAUGGGGGGGUUGAGAGGGUAACGGGGUUUCGAUUGGACGGUUUUGCUGCCGUUGGUUAGGUAGGGACUGGGAGCGAUUAAAGGUGGCUCGAGAGAGUUCGUCAUGAUCUAUAGAUAUGCGAUUGCCUGGUGGCAUGGAAACAUGUUGCCGGGUGACUCGACGGGGCUCAUUCUUGGUGCGAGG
rnacentral:RNase_MRP_RNA from 2 species